GACGAGAUCGGAAAAAGGAAAUGAAUUGUGUCAGGCAGUCUUGAAAAAAAAUCAUAAAUUCAUCUAACGUGCAUGAUAUCAGCUCCCACCUCUAAUUUGACCAGAAUGAGGGACCAAUUCAGUUGUUUGAUGUUUGCCAGGGAAAUAGGUGUCAAUGGAGGAGAGUCAACUUCUUCAGCCUUUUCUGGGACAUGCAGAGACUCGGCAGACUUAGAAACAUGUACUGUUACUGCUUUCUGACUGCUGGAGGGUAUCGAGAAGCUCCGAGGGACAACCAAAGGUGGAACUGGCAGAGGAGAUGCGUAAUUUGUUGUUGUGGAAGGAACCUUGCUUGUUCCAGAAUGCUCUGGAUUUCUCACCAACGGAGCAGAGUGACCAACUAGUGCAGAUGAUUUUGCUGGUUUUGAGGCUAAAUUAACCGGUGGCCUAGGAAGCUCAUGAAGCUCACUUAUUCUGGGUGAAGAUGCAAGGGGAGGUGAAGCAGUUGGGGAUACUUUUGGAGAUGUAGUCUGAGGAAUCAUUACACGUGGAAACACGCCAGAAACUUGUUGGGGAAGUUCGUUAGAGGAAAUGGGACCACUGGCGGAUAAAGCAGGCUUCAUAGACCAGGACUUACUAGUUAUUGGACCAGAGAAAGACUGCCGUUUAACCUUUUUGUGAUCCGAUGCAUUAUAUGUAUCAAGCUGUGGAAGUGAAGUUCCUUCCACUAAAGGAGGGGGUAACUGGGUGGAGGCGUUACUGUUGCUCUUUUUGUGUGCUGAAAAUGCUUUUAAGACAGUGAAGUCUGACAGAUGACUGUCAACAGGAUCUUUUUCAUGCUUCUUCUGUUCCAAUGGGGAUGAAUGCCACAAGUUAUGGGUGCGUCCACUGAGGUCAGUUGGCUUUGUCUGGAUAAGUGAACCACUUGUUCUUGACGAGAUUGCACCCUUAGCAUCAAUAGGUGUGGGCAGCACAUAUGUGUUGGACUUCCUUACAGAUGAUUGCAUUUGUCUCAUUUUUUCAACUGGAUCAGGUUUUCUUUCGGGAAAUAUUGGUGCAGAAUGGCUUCCUGGUCGAUGUUCCCUAAAUGAGAUCUGGAAACUCCCUUGGUUUUUGUCUGGAUUUAACUCUGCACUUUCUGUCAUUGAAGCUUGAGGAAAUGACAAGUCAACAUCAUCCACCUCCAUUGAAUUACUAGACGCAUAAACAACAUCAUGCCCCUGCUUAUUUGCUCUGUAGUCAAAGCUCAGUUCCCUCCCUCCAUUUGUAUCAUCACCAUCCUCAUCAUCUUCACCAUCUUCCCUACCAUCUUCUUCAAGCCCACAGAAUUGAUAAUCAAUAUGUUGUUGGUCUGUAACAAAUUUUACAUGUUGAUCAACAGCCUCAAGUGAUUUAAGUCCCUUCCUAAAGAAAUUCAACUGAGCUGCAUGAUGACGAGCUGCCUGUGUUAGAAGACUUCGAGACUGUCCUUGUUUCAGAGAUUUCAACCGGAAAACACACAGGGUUGCCUCUUCAUCAUAUUCAUCAUGAGCUGUUCGCAGUUUCUGCAAAGAAAAACUUUCACCUUUCCCACUCUUUGACUUUCCUUUUUCUUUCUGUUGUGCC
rnacentral:misc_RNA from 1 species